ensembl:lncRNA
CUCUAUAGUGCUCUCUUCCUCUUUCUCCUUCUUCCUUCUUCUUCUCCUUCUCCUUCUUCUCAAUAUUUUGUAAUGAAAUGUUGUCUUUCUUGCUGAGACGCACCUGCAUCUCUGGGAGGCAAGUCUCUUUCACGCUGUUCGAAAUAUGAAUUGAGAACCUAUCAUCAACCACAAUGCAACAGUACCGUAUGUCUCACUGAAAGCGGUUAAGUAAGAACAGUAAGUCUAACUCUGAUUUCUCACAGUUCCAUUCAUGCAUUCAGCUCCAUAUUAACAACACCAAUAACAAGUCAGAGGUGCUGGAGUCUGGCUGGGGAAAGAGUUAGACAGUCCCACACCAGGAAUAUGGCACCUCACAAUAGGCUUAUAAUAAGAUAACAAAGUGAGGUUAACCUAGGAUAUUAAAGUGAGCAAAGUUAGGUUGACUUCUAGCAAUAGAGUGAAAAAAGUUGGGUUUCUCCUUUCUAUAAGGUUUUCAUUGUGCUUUGAUGUGCCCCACUCCCCUCCCAUUAGGCUGUAAUAAAUCAAGCUUAAGAUAUUGUCACCGAUGGUAAUUCCUCUCUUUUACAGGCCUUUGAUAGUCAUUACUCUUUUAACAGGCCCUAAAUAUAGUCCUUUCCAGGCAGACUCCACAUGGCCUUCAUUUCUAAUUCACACAUCUGUCCUCGCUUACAACCGCCAUUUUGUUUCAGGAAGAAAAGACGACAGCUCUCCACCUACCUCUUCCCGUCCUUCCACUGACCGCACCACCACCACAAUUGCCUUUCCAGCUCAGUGCGUUCACUCUGAUCCAUUGGUUGGGAUUCAAUCAAAAACACGUUAUAGAGCAGCACACUGCAUUUGCGAAAAUCUGGCUAUUAAAGGCAAUUUCCCUGAUAUUCUGUGGAUUUUGGCGCAAGCAUAGUAACCUUUAAAAGUCAAGUGCAAUGCUCUUAACGACAAAACACCUUUGAUUGAAUCCCGGGCCAUUGAUUAGGCUAGUUACUGUCUGAGCUCAAUAGUUCAACAUCGACAGUUUUCGAUUGUGUACAAUGCUCUGUACCGGAUCGCACACUCAAAUAAGAGAUGGCAUUGUGCGAUCAGGUAGUAGUAAUGGCAAAGAUCAACCAUAGAUAUUGCUUUAACGAAUAGGGCUUGAACAUAUUUGUUAGCCGGGAUGGAAAUUAAGCUAACGGCUAGCCAGAGGCUAGUACUUAAAGGCAGUAGUAAAUGUGCCCAACUAGCCCGCCGACUAGUGGAAUGUCUUUUCAAAUAUCGCAGAGCACAGACUUUGGACCCGGGCUAGUAGAAAUUGUGUUCUACUGUCCCUGUGGGCCAGUGCCCAAAAUCUUUAAAGGUAUACUUUGUGGUACCCACAAAUUCAUUUGACUCUGGGGAAGUAGAUAAAGGACCUCAUUGCCAAAAUCCUAUAGUAUCAAUUUGAGUCCCAUCCCUAUUUGUUAGUGCUGCUGAUUACAUCUGUUUGUAGUUAAAAAAAUAGAGGACAAGGAAGAGGAGGAGGAAGAUGAGGAUAAGGAAGUGGAGGAGGAGGAAGAUGGUCCUCCCGGGUCCAUGUCAUAGUGGCUCACUGAGCAGCAGCAUUAGCAGAGCCUGUCUCCUAAUUUCUCAUUAACACUGUCUCCUGUGUCCCCAGCCCUCCCUAUCCCUAUCACCAUCAGUCUGCCCAGAGAGAGAGAGAGAGAGAGAUCAUAGAGACACGGGAGGAGAAAGAGAAUAGAGAAAGAGAGGUGUGGUGAGAGAGAAGAGAAGAGAGAGGGAGAAACAGAGAAUGGGCAGGAGAGCAUAACGCAAGGCUCAUUAGUAAUUGUGCAGCACAUCAAACUUAUGAAGGAGACUCCAAGUUCGAAUUCCCAUGGAUCGUGCACACACACACACAAACACACACACACACACACACACAAACACACAUACACACACACACACACACGUCUAAAUUCCUACUGUACAUCUCCACUCCAGUGUAGGUAGGGUCUCUUCAGACAUGCAGAGACAGGAGAGAGGAAUUUAUCUUGCAUGCAAAGCUGUUCAUAUGGUUUAGACGUGUGGGGGGGAGGGAAAUGGUGUCAGCGCAUCCUCUCGUUCCACCUCUCUCUCCCUUUAUCUCUUUGUCUGGUUCUAGCUGUCAUGCUCUCCUCAGGUGCAGAACUUAGCCACUGUGAACAAAGAGGAGAUCAAUCACUGUUCACCAAUCAGCUAAGCUCUGUACCUGGUGGGAGAGAGGUCACUGCCUGUCUGGCAGAUAGAUACACGCACCAGAUUAAAAAGCUUGCUAGCCAAAACGGUAUUGUGUUUAGCCCUCGGCAUAAGAAGACUUGACUUUGUCAAUGGUGAUUUUGAAAAGGCAAACUGUAGUAAAUGCGACAGUUUCAAUAGUAAUUUAAAAGGGUUUAUGUAGGAAAUGAAGAAGGAUCAGGCGCAAUUCAGCAGUGACACAAUACUACACACACAAAUGGCAGUAGUAAUUCAAUAGGGAUUGAGUAGGCUUUCAGCAGUAGUACGUAGUAAUUCAAUAGUGAACGUGUUUG